rnacentral:lncRNA from 1 species
CGUCAUCACCCGCGCGCUCACAACAACAGCGUCGAGUCUCGUGAGGAGAGCAGUUCGCGGUACUUCACGUGUUUACAUUAUUGUAAAACACUCUUAACCGUUUAUUUAAGCAACAUCCAAAGAGCUCACAAGUGCAAGCAUCAAAGCAUCAGGAAGAAGAUAAAUCUGCAGAGACAGAGUUUAUUGAAGGACAGAGAGAACAUGAAGAUCCAGAACCCUGCAGAAUCAAACACACUGAAGAACAAACAGGUCACACUGAACAGCAGAUUGUUGUCUCAAGCCAGUGCUGAUCAAUGACAGUUUAGCUGCAGUAUGUCAGAGAAGAGAGGAAAGAUGAGUCUCUCACAGAAACUGAGGUAAGACUGAGUCUGUUUUCAGAGAAUCAUUUCAUCAUCAUCUCCAGGUCACACUGAACAGCAGAUUGUUGUCUCAAGCCAGUGCUGAUCAAUGACAGUUUAGCUGCAGUAUGUCAGAGAAGAGAGGAAAGAUGAGUCUCUCACAGAAACUGAGGUAAGACUGAGUCUGUUUUCAGAGAAUCAUUUAAACACUUUCUGUGAAGAAUAAAACCCCAUCAAUAAUUAAGUCU